rnacentral:rRNA from 1 species
UACGUAGGUGGCAAGCGUUGUCCGGAUUUACUGGGCGUAAAGCGUAUGCAGGCGGAUGAGUAAGUAGGAAGUGAAAGGUUGGAGCUCAACUCUAACACGGCUCCCUAUACUGCUUGUCUUGAGUGCCGGAGAGGACAAGGGAACUUCACGUGUAGCGGUGAAAUGCGUUGAGAUGUGAAGGAACACCAAUGGCGAAAGCACUUGUCUGGACGGAAACUGACGCUGAGAUACGAAAGCCAAGGGAGAGCGAACAGG